rnacentral:rRNA from 1 species
GACGAACGCUGGCGGCGUGCUUAACACAUGCAAGUCGAACGGAAAGGCCCCGCUUUUGUGGGGUGCUCGAGUGGCGAACGGGUGAGUAACACGUGAGUAACCUGCCCUUGACUUUGGGAUAACUUCAGGAAACUGGGGCUAAUACCGGAUAGGAGCUCCUGCUGCAUGGUGGGGGUUGGAAAGUUUCGGCGGUUGGGGAUGGACUCGCGGCUUAUCAGCUUGUUGGUGGGGUAGUGGCUUACCAAGGCUUUGACGGGUAGCCGGCCUGAGAGGGUGACCGGCCACAUUGGGACUGAGAUACGGCCCAGACUCCUACGGGAGGCAGCAGUGGGGAAUAUUGCACAAUGGGCGGAAGCCCGAUGCAGCAACGCCGCGUGCGGGAUGACGGCCUUCGGGUUGUAAACCGCUUUCGCCUGUGACGAAGCGUGAGUGACGGUAAUGGGUAAAGAAGCACCGGCUAACUACGUG